GAUGUCACAAGUAUGUCUUUGAGAUUUUUGGGUCUGCGAUAGGCAAUAAUAGGAGGUGAUGGAAAAAUUUCUUUUAAGGAAGAGUCAUUUUCGAUAAGACGCCAGUGCUUUCGGAUAGUAGAUGAAAUAUUUGUCAAAUCGGGAUGGAAGGUUACAACAAACGGAAUUCUAUCUUCACGGGUCGUCUUAUCUUUGUAUUCCAUGAGGCUAGCUCGAUCUUUUUCUUGGGCUUUAUCAAAAGCGUCUGUGAUGUUUUUGGUUUUGUAUCCUCUUGAUUUCAGCUGUGUUUU
rnacentral:lncRNA from 1 species